AUUGGCUGGGGUAGUUGUUUUAUAUUGACUAAGAUUUAAUAAAGCUAUAAAGGUUGAUGGUCCUUAAAAUUAAGAUAGUUAGAUGGAGUUACUUUAGGGAUAACAGCGUAAUAACUUUGGAGAGGUCAUAUUUAUGGGGUUGAUUGCGACCUCGAUGUUGAAUUAAAUUAAAAACUACAGCGCAGAAUAGGUAGGGUUAGGUUUGUUCAGCCUUUAUAUAUUUACAUGAUCUGAGUUCAAACCGG
rnacentral:rRNA from 1 species